AGCUUCUGUAAAGGAGCAAAGAUGGCAGAGAACCUGGUCUGUUCCAGUGACAACAGGCAGUUUUCAGCAAGACUUUGUGGAUUAGGAAAAGGGCUGUGGUCUUCCUCUGCCUUUCUAAAACCAACAGACACAAGCCAGUGAAUCUUGAGGAUGGGUUCCCCUAGCCCCAAAAGGACCAUUCAGAAACCAAAGAAGCCAUAUGUUGAAGAUGAUGGAACCACAAGCUGGAAAGCGCCUGGAUCCCUGAAUCAGCCUGGAGGAGAUCCAGCUGCUGGUCAGAAUCACUUGUCUGGGAUUUUACUGAGCAACCUGCACUGGAGAGAUAUUGAGACAGAUGGGGCUCCUGGAAUCUGGCAGAACACAUCACAGAUGUGGCUGCCUUCUCUGCCCACACUGCUGGCCCAGCUACGCCCAGGUGGCUGACGUUGUCCCUUCCUGCCCAGCACCAGCAGCCUUUGCUGCAGCCUGGCGGCCCUCUCUGGAAGGUCCCUCGGUUCAGCUUUCAAGUCCCCUGAAGGUGACACACCUAUCAGCACAUCCUGAAGAAGACAGCUCCUCCCAUCAGACACGGGAAAUGCAGACACCCUGGUACAAGAAACUUGAACAGGAUGAAAAAGCAAGAAAGCAUGAUAUGCAAAAGUGGAGACUGGUGCAGGCAGCUCAUUAAAACCGGUUGGGGUCUUGUCCCCUCCCUCCCCAUGAAGGAAAUGUGGAUGUGGAGGUUGGGAAGAUGAAAGGCUGGUGAGAACAGCAACCCGUGAGUUAGGAGGAGACCCAAGAGAGAAUGCUGUCCUGGAGCCAAGCAAGAAACCUGGUAAUAGAGUCUUACUAGCUGUGCUGAGAGCUGCUCAUGGGAAGGAUACGAUGAGGACUGAGAAAUGACCGAGGGACUUGGCAGCUAGAUGAUCACUGAUGAGCUUGAUAAAAGCUGUUUCAGUGGAGAACAGGGAUGAGAUCCUGAAUUAAAGUGGGUUUCAGAGUUUGAAUGGAGGAGGGGAAGGAGAGAUACUAAGAUUGUAGACAAGUCUCGUGAGGCAUUUUGCUGUCAAAGGGAGUGAAGAGUAGUACAGCGGCCUGAAGGAGGAGUGGGAGCAAGGGAGGCUCUUUUCAGACAGGAAACAGUAGAGCUUGCUUAUUUGUUGAUAGAAAUAAUCUAGUUAAAAGGGAAACAUCAAAGCCUCAGGAAGGAGAGGGUUAACUGCAGAAACAAGCCCUUAAGAGGUCAGCAAAGGAUGGGUUCCAGGGCCAACAUGGAGGGGAUGGCUUUAGAGAGAAGCACAGACAAUUUUCCACCAUGAAUAAAGUGGAAGAAGCAAAGUAAAUGGCCAUCGAUGUGAGUAGGUUAGGAGGUGAUGUUGUAUAAGCCAAGACCUGAGCUCUACUUCUUACUCCUCUUCAACUAGCCAGAGACUUCAUGCACCUUGACCUUUCUCAAAAAGUCCAGUCAACCAUUACAUAUGGAAAGCUUGCUAUGUGCUGAACAUGAUGCUGGCACUUUUCUUGUGUGACCCAGAGAGUUCUCCUUCCCAAGAAAUUACAGGACUAGGACUCUGGAGAACCUUGAGCUAGUCCAUGCAAGGAUGAGUGAUCCCUUUUACUAUCCAGCUCCCCUGACUGCAAAGAGACUUUAACAGCCUCAGGCUUUUAUCCCUACUCUGCCUCCACAGUUGCUACACCGAUUGUGACAGACCUCAAGGCUUAGAGGCAUCAAAGUGGAGACCAUGGAGAGAGAUCCACAUUUGGAGUGGGGAGUUUCAUUCUGUGCUGACUCAAAGCCAAUGGGAUGCUACAGGAUGGGAUAUUCCCACACCCCAGUCAUUUAGACUUUAUCUCCUGAAGCAGAAGAAGACUUGAGAUUUAAUCUGACUAAUCAUUAUUACCCAGCUGCCGUGGGAUAAGCCAGUCCCGAUGCAGGAGCCGAGCUCUUUGAUGUUUUUGUCAUAAAUUAAUGAGUUCACCCACAAAAUAACAUCAAAGAAGAUCUACUAAUUCAUUGUUAUCAUCCUCCAAUCUGCAGCUAUAUUGGAAAGUCUCCCAAAGAAAGGACCAUAGCCAGAAAAAGAAACCAACCAAAAGAUUUGGAAAUUAUGAUAUCUGGAAAGAGAUGAGAGAAAAAUGAACUCCUGUAGACUGCAGAGGAGACAGAGAAAAAGCUAGCAAAUCUCAGAGAAAUGAAAAAGCAGGAGAGACAGAAAGAUUCUCAACCCUUGGGUCUGGAAGGAAACUGACUGCAUGAACGCUUGAGGGGGAAAUUGUGGUCUGGAAAGUCUUUAAUGGUGUGAUCUCAGAGCACAUUGUGGGGACUACGAGGAAGUGUGUGGUAGGAAAGAGUGUCCCUGGAGUCAGAUGACAUGGAUUUCAGCCUCUGGCUCUAUUUACUAUGUGACCAUCAUCAAGUCGCAAUAUUUCUAAACCUUGGUUCUCUGAUCAGUAAAAUAAUCCUCCCUCUCCUCAUAGGACCCCUCCUAGUACAGGAGGCUUUCUUUAGAUGUCACCUGACUCUUCCAAAUCUCCUCUUCCAAGAGGAAAACCAGAAAAGAUUAAUGGAGAUGCCUCGCUGGCUGGAGAUCUUCCCAUUGCAACAUUUCUUCUAGGCCAAGCAAGAUUUCUUAAAGCACAGAAAGAUCAGCAACUGUGCUUCCCUGAGCUCAGGAAGCAGCUACGGAGCACUCCAGGCCAGGCCAGAAGAAGGCCGCGGGGUGUUUCCAACGCCUCCAGGACACCAAAAGGUCAGCAAGAGAGGACGAGGCUCUGUGGCAAGUGCUAAGGUGUAGAGAGCUUCCUCAGAGUUGGGAUCUAGGAAAGGUUUUACGAACUGUGUGCCAUUUGAGCUUGGACUUCAAGGACCAAUAUCCUGUUCCCCAGACGGCGGAUGAAAGAACGAGGUGUGCAAAGGCAGGAAGGCAUGAAAGGUGCCUGGGAACACAGAGCCUCUGGAACCUGAAAACUCAGGAAAGCAGCUGCCAGACGGCAACAGGGAUGACUGCAAAGGCCCCAGAAACAUGAAUGGAGGGGACCCGCCCUAAAAAUAGUGCCAGAACAGGCAAACGGUGACACGUGUCUGGAAGUACAGUCACUAGGAGGUGACUAAGCUACUGAGGAGUUGCCUCCCUUUCUCGACUUCAUUCAUAGUCUCCCUCUAUUUCUCUCUCUCCCUCUCCCUCCCUCUCUCCUCUCUCUCUCUCUCUCUCUCUCCCUCUCCCACCCCUUUCUUUCUCUCCCUCCCUCCCUCCCUGUCUCUCUCUCUCUUCCUCCCUCCUCUGGAGGUGGUAGAGUGGGAGGCAAGAGUCUACAAGAACUCACAGCUCCCGCAGCAGAAACAGCAGAGUCUGGGACUAUUAGACGAAACACUCACCU